UAAAGCUUGCGCAGGCGGUUUUGUAAGACUGUCGUGAAAUCCCCGGGCUCAACCUGGGAAUGGCGAUGGUGACUGCAAGGCUAGAGUUUGGCAGAGGGGGGUAGAAUUCCACGUGUAGCAGUGAAAUGCGUAGAUAUGUGGAGGAACACCGAUGGCGAAGGCAGCCCCCUGGGUCAAAACUGACGCUCAUGCACGAAAGCGUGGGGAGCAAACAGGAUUAGAUCCCCAGU
rnacentral:rRNA from 1 species